rnacentral:lncRNA from 1 species
GCGGCUCUUAGUUAGGAGAAUAUAUCAAUUCUCCUAAAUCCUUCCCUGUGUCAUUUUCUCCUCAUCUCCAUCUCUCGUUCGCGUGGUCCAAGGGAUUUUGUGAGUUUCUUCACCUCUCUAUCUCUCUUUCGGUAUGGGGAAUUUGUGAAUCCCUGCUUAAUUUCUUCUCAACUCUAUCUCUAUUUCAAUUUGGAGGUUUAUGUGAAUUUCUACGCCUUUGCAUCUUUCUGUCGGUAUAGGUGAUUUUGUUACAAAAAAUUUCCCAAAUAACAAUGAAUUCAUCCCAAAUUUUCAUACCUCGUUGCUGAUUCUAUUAUUUCUAUUUGUUCUACAGAUUUUAUUUUUUCAAUUGUGGAAGGAAAGUGUUGACGAAUAUACGGUUNNNNN